rnacentral:rRNA from 1 species
UACGUAGGGCGCAAGCGUUGUCCGGAAUUAUUGGGCGUAAAGAGCUCGUAGGCGGCCUGUUGCGUCCGCUGUGAAAUCCCGGGGCUCAACCCCGGGCCUGCAGUGGAUACGGGCUGGCUAGAGGCAGGCAGGGGAGAACGGAAUUCCUGGUGUAGCGGUGAAAUGCGCAGAUAUCAGGAGGAACACCGGUGACGAAGGCGGUUCUCUGGGCCUGUACUGACGCUGAGGAGCGAAAGCGUGGGGAGCGAACAGG